rnacentral:sRNA from 1 species
UCCUGAAGACGGACAGUGACUCGGACCUACAGCUCUACAAGGAACAGGGUGAGGGGCAGGGUGACCGGAGCCUGCGGGAGCGUGAUGUGCUGGAACGGGAGUUUCAGCGGGUCACCAUCUCUGGGGAGGAGAAGUGUGGGGUGCCGUUCACAGACCUGCUGGAUGCAGCCAAGAGUGUGGUGCGGGCACUCUUCAUCCGGGAGAAGUACAUGGCCCUGUCCCUGCAGAGCUUCUGCCCCACCACCCGCCGCUACCUGCAGCAGCUGGCUGAAAAGCCUCUGGAGACCCGGACCUAUGAACAGGGCCCCGACACCCCUGUGUCUGCUGGUGGGACCCCCCAUCUCUGCCCCAUGCCAUGUGCCCUAGCCUCCUGGGCUUCUCAGCCUGGUGCCUGGGCACCUCUGCCCUGCCUGCCUCUCCCUACACCCAGGAUCAUUCCAACCUCUUGGUGUACAGGGGUGGAGGUUGGGCAGGAGCUGUCUGACCUACUGGGUCUUCAACAUCUCUUGCCCUCUGUGGGGCCUUUGGGUUGGGCAGUGGGUGGCUUGUAAGAGCCCUGCUCUGACUUUACCCUCCUCA